AGCGAACGCUGGCGGCAGGCUUAACUCAUGCAAGUCGAGCGCCCCGCAAGGGGAGCGGCAGACGGGUGAGUAACACGUGGGAACGUACCUUUUGGUUCGGAACAACCCAGGGAAACUUGGGCUAAUACCGGAUAAGCCCUUACGGGGAAAGAUUUAUCGCCAAAAGAUCGGCCCGCGUCUGAUUAGCUAGUUGGUGGGGUAAUGGCCCACCAAGGCUACGAUCAGUAGCUGGUCUGAGAGGAUGAUCAGCCACAUUGGGACUGAGACACGGCCCAAACUCCUACGGGAGGCAGCAGUGGGGAAUAUUGGACAAUGGGGGAAACCCUGAUCCAGCCAUGCCGCGUGAGUGAUGAAGGCCUUAGGGUUGUAAAGCUCUUUUAGCAGGGAAGAUAAUGACGGUACCUGCAGAAAAGCCCCGGCUAACUUCGUGCCAGCCGCCGCCGUAA
rnacentral:rRNA from 1 species